GAGCGGUAGCACAGGGGAGCUUGCUCCCUGGGUGACGAGCGGCGGACGGGUGAGUAAUGUCUGGGAAACUGCCUGAUGGAGGGGGAUAACUACUGGAAACGGUAGCUAAUACCGCAUAACGUCUUCGGACCAAAGUGGGGGACCUUCGGGCCUCACACCAUCGGAUGUGCCCAGAUGGGAUUAGCUAGUAGGUGGGGUAACGGCUCACCUAGGCGACGAUCCCUAGCUGGUCUGAGAGGAUGACCAGCCACACUGGAACUGAGACACGGUCCAGACUCCUACGGGAGGCAGCAGUGGGGAAUAUUGCACAAUGGGCGCAAGCCUGAUGCAGCCAUGCCGCGUGUAUGAAGAAGGCCUUCGGGUUGUAAAGUACUUUCAGUGGGGAGGAAGGCGAUGAAGUUAAUAACUUCGUCGAUUGACGUUACCCGCAGAAGAAGCACCGGCUAACUCCGUGCCAGCAGCCGCGGUAAUACGGAGGGUGCAAGCGUUAAUCGGAAUUACUGGGCGUAAAGCGCACGCAGGCGGUCUGUCAAGUCGGAUGUGAAAUCCCCGGGCUCAACCUGGGAACUGCAUUCGAAACUGGCAGGCUAGAGUCUUGUAGAGGGGGGUAGAAUUCCAGGUGUAGCGGUGAAAUGCGUAGAGAUCUGGAGGAAUACCGGUGGCGAAGGCGGCCCCCUGGACAAAGACUGACGCUCAGGUGCGAAAGCGUGGGGGGCAAACAGGAUUAGAUACCCUGGUAGUCCACGCCGUAAACGAUGUCGACUUGGAGGUUGUGCCCUUGAGGCGUGGCUUCCGGAGCUAACGCGUUAAGUCGACCGCCUGGGGAGUACGGCCGCAAGGUUAAAACUCAAAUGAAUUGACGGGGGCCCGCACAAGCGGUGGAGCAUGUGGUUUAAUUCGAUGCAACGCGAAGAACCUUACCUGGCCUUGACAUCCACGGAAUUUGGCAGAGAUGCCUUAGUGCCUUCGGGAACCGUGAGACAGGUGCUGCAUGGCUGUCGUCAGCUCGUGUUGUGAAAUGUU
rnacentral:rRNA from 1 species